ensembl:snRNA U6 U6 spliceosomal RNA
AUGGUCACAUUGGCAACUUAUAUACCAAAAUUGGAAAAAUACAGAGAAGAGUAGCAUGGCCCCUCUGCAAGGAUGACACCCAAACUUAGGAAGCGUUCCGUAUUUUU